AACUUAUGAAUAAGGAUCGGCUAACUACGUGCCAGCAGCCGCGGUCAUACGUAGGAUCCGAGCAUUAUCCGGAGUGACUGGGUGUAAAGAGUUGCGUAGGUGGCAAGGUAAGUAGAUAGUGAAAUCUGGUGGCUCAACCAUUCAGACUAUUAUCUAAACUAUCUAGCUCGAGACUGUUAUGGGUAACUGGAAUUUCUAGUGUAGGAGUGAAAUCCGUAGAUAUUAGAAGGAACACCGAUAGCGUAGGCAGGUUACUGGGACAGUUCUGACACUAAGGCACGAAAGCGUAGGGAGCAAACGGGAUUAGAUACCCCGGUAGUCUACGCCGUAAACGAUGGAUACUAGCAGUUUUGGGUAUCGACCCCCGGAGUUGCGAAGCUAACGCGUUAAGUAUCCCACCUGUGUAGUACGAUCGCAAGAUUAAAACAUAAAGGAAUUGACGGGGACCCGCACAAGCGGUGGAGCGUGAUCUUUAAUUCGAUGGUAAACGAUAAACCUUACCAAGGCUUGACAUCCGAUGUAGGCUCUCGAAAGAGAACUGUGCCUUCGGGAACAUCGAGACAGGUGAUGCAUGGCCGUCGUCAGCUCGUGUCGUGAGAUGUUUGGUUAAGUCCAUCAACGAGCGCAACCCUUGCAACCAGUUGUAUUUUUCUGGUAGGACUGCCCCGGUAACGGGGAGGAAGGAGGGGAUGAUGUCAGGUCAGUAUUUCCCUUACGCCUUGGGCUAGAAUCGCGCUACAAUGGCUGGUACAAUGCGAAGCGAAGCAGUGAUGUGAAGCAAAUCGCACCAAAGCCAGUCCCAGUUCGGAUAGAAGGCUGAAACUCGCCUUCUUGAAGUCGGAAUCGCUAGUAAUCGCAGAUCAGCAUGUUGCGGUGAAUACGUUCCCGGGUCUUGUACACACCGCCCGUCAAACCAUGAGAGUCACCAACACCCGAAGUCCGCCUCGGCGGCCUAAGGUGGGGGAGAUGAUUGGGGUUAAGUCGUAACAAGGCAUCGGUACGAGAACGUGUCGAUG
rnacentral:rRNA from 1 species